UACGAAAAUGUCAAUCAAAAUAUUAAAACCGUAGUUCGAACUUGUAGCAGGUCAGUGGCAUUCUCAGUCUCCGUCAUUUCUCCGCUCAAAUAUUUCUCCCAUGGAAACCGGAACCGGAAGUAGUAGCAAAAGCUCCGAUUCGGAUCCGAUGGAAGCGAAGAAGGGAAUGCAAAUUGAAGGAUACCCAAUUAAGGGUUUGUCCAUUGGAGGCCAUGAAACUUGCGUAAUCUUCCCAACCCUUAAUUUGGCCUUUGAUAUUGGUCGCUGCCCCCAGAAGGCUAUUGGACAAAACUUCCUCUUCAUCUCCCAUGGCCAUAUGGAUCACAUUGGGGGACUUCCGUUGUACGUUGCUACGCGUGGAUUAUACAACAUGGAACCGCCAACAAUCAUUUUACCCAAAUCUAUAAAGACUGAUGUAGAAAAUCUGCUUGAGGUGCACAGAAGAUUGGAUCAUUCUGAGCUGAGAUGUAAUUUAAUUGGCUUGGACGUGGGAGAAGAGCUGUCUUUGAGAAGGGACCUGAAAGCGAGGGCUUUUAAGACAUACCAUGUCAUUCAAAGCCAGGGUUAUCUAGUUUACUCUGUAAAACAGAAGCUUAAGAAGGAGUACUUGGGCCUCUCUGGCAAUGAGAUCAAGAAACUUCGGUUAUCUGGUGUGGAGGUUACUUACACAAUUAGUGAACCUGAAGUGGCCUUUACAGGAGAUACGACAUCUGACUUUAUAGUUGAUGAAAAUAAUAUUGAUGUACUGAGGGCAAAGAUCCUGGUUAUGGAGAGCACAUUUCUUGAAAACAAAGUUACAGUGGAGCAUGCAAGAGAAUAUGGACACACUCACCUGUUGGAGGUUCAUUUACUCAACAUUUUAACACCUGCUAUUGAUAAUAAACCAUGCCGAUAAGUUUAAGAACAAAGCGGUUCUUCUGAUUCACUUUUCAGCUCGCUAUACUACAGAGGAAAUUCAGCAAACCAUAGCUGCUUUACCUCCACCUUUAGCAGGCCGAGUUUUUGCGCUAACGGAAGGUUUUUGAGGGGGGAUGCAAUACAAUAUUCACAGGUUGUGAAGGAGUGUUCUGGAAUUAUUUUUUGCCUUUUUAGAACAAUCAUUCAGUGCAAAUAUGUCUAGGCAACUUUUGUUUGGUUGUUUUAUUGUAUUUUUUCCGUAACUUGCUUUCAUGAAUGAUUUAUUUUCAUAGUGAAAAUGGUUCGCAUUCAA